rnacentral:ncRNA from 1 species
UUAAUAUUUUUGAUCGUGAUAGAAGUAGUAGUUAACGGUGCGACUCUUAGAGACCUGCUGGUGGUGGAAAGCAGGAGGGCAUUGUUAGCGAACUCGUCUAGAAGAUUGCUACUGAAUUGAGUAGGUAGUGACGUCUGCCGCGUUAAGGCCUUAAGUGCUAUGGGUGGCCAUAGAAAACGGGUGGUACCGCGGAUUAGAUUUCGUCUCGUCG